UACAUUUAAUAAUUGGGCCACACCAUUUGCAGCACACGCACUCGACUUCAUCCUUUUCUCCUUUUGAAUACUUGUGUGUGUUCUGAAACAUAUUCUGAUAGAUUUUUGUUUUCUUUCCAUUUUAGUGUGUCAAAUCUUUAAACUGUUAUCUGCUAACAGCUUGAAAUGUGUACGUGGGUGUGAGAUUCAUCAGUAUAUUCAGAUGCACACACACUUCAGAGUUUGCUUCUUUAAACAUGGAUGAUAUCACAUACUCCUCCUCAACUUGCUGAAGUUCUUCUCGAGUGGGCCAAACAUCAUGCAGACACGACUGAGGCAAUUUCUUCCAAACAAGGAAGUGAAGAAAGGAGAAGAUGCCCUCUGAAAACAGCAGAGAAAGGGACUGGUCUUCUCAUCACACACAGCAUAAAUGAGAGUUUUUAGCUCUAAUUUGCCUGAAACAAGUAACCUCAAAAAACACUCAUCAGAAAAAUAUACCUUCCCAGCACGUGAGGGACAACAAUAACUGCACUGUCAAACAAGGAAGGUACUUCUAACUGAUAUUCGUAGGAGUUGCUUACCUCAAGCAAUUUGAUGUUGGGAAAGAAAUAAGGUGUCUGAUUUAUGUUAUUGCUGGCAAGAGAAUUGCUCAUUUUCAACUCUAGUCCUCUAACUGCUGACUAGAACACCAAUAAGAUACCGUAUAAUUUAUUUGUAAAUGUCUUCCAGGAACUGUAUUAAUUUACUUAUAUAUAGGCGCUCAUCACCACAGUGUCUAAACAUGAACGCAGAUGACUAACUUUCCUAUGUGUUUGUAAUGAAAAGCAUCAUUUUAUUAAAUGACUGAAAUUCA